rnacentral:tRNA from 1 species
GAGAGGUGGCCGAGUGGUCGAAGACGCAGCAUUGGAAAUGCUGUAACGUUAAUAGCGUUCGUGGGUUCGAAUCCCAUCCUCUCC